AUACAUCUUAAAAAUUGAGAUAAAACUCAUUUCUCACAGGUCUUCCGAUUAAGAAACCAAUUAAGAAGGAAUAAUUGCUUUUCUUUCGAGUCGUUGCCGGUCAUCUCACCCCUUCAGGCUUCAGCCCACCGCAAAGGUUUUUUCAGUUUUGUGUCUCCGUCUUCGAAAAUACUUUCCAAAUCCUCAAAGUCUUCUCAUUGUCAGAACAUUCUGGUUUGCCGUCAGAAAAUAUCUCCAACGUCGGAACUCUAUCGUUGCGGUUGCGGAAACCUCAGUCGUUCAAAACUGAAAUCGUGACCUCUCUCCAAUUCAACGCGAUCGAUCGCCGAUUUUUUUUCCGGUAGCUACGACAGUCGCUGUAUUAUUUGGAUAGUACAACUGGAACGUACUUAAAGAUGAUAAGAUUCCGGCAGUCGCCUUCACCUAAUGAAAAGCUCCUCCUCGUACGUUGAUCUGUCUGUAUAGGUGAAGCAACCAAUUGUUUUUUCUUGUAAUAUCACUAAGUGGCAUACCAACUAAUAAUAUUAUUUGGUCAAUAGCCACAAGGUGUAAUAUAGGUGCUUUAGCAUUUUGAUAUUGACAUUAUACCAGAAGAACCCUUCUUACUUAGUAUUCUCACAAUAAAUCACCAUGGAUGAUCCUUCAAGAUUGAGUAAUGGGGUGGCUUCAAUCUCUCUUCUCCCCUUUCAAGAUCCUGUGGAACCGAAUUCAGUCAACACACAUCCGUCGUCACAAACGUAAUGGAUUGUACGUGCUGUAUGAAGAUGUAAAGUGUUGUUCAUGUGAAGAUGUGCAAAUGUUGUGGUCGAUGUUGGUUGGACCUGAAGCUAGUUUUGUUAUUUGAAAUAAAAGUGCAUAUAUAUUGAAUACAAGAUUGUCAAAUUGUUGCAAACGAUGUGUCUAGUUAAUGUCUUUUUUGUUUGUGUUAAGGAUAACAUCGUAUGUCUCUAUGACAUUUGAUUGUGUUGUGCACCGAUAAACCGUUGUAAAAGAUGUGUAAUUAUGAUGUUAGUAUAUGAUGUAAGUUUCGAUAUAA